GCGCCGGUGGUGUAGCGGUAACAUUGGGUCUUCCCACAAAAUCUGGUAGAUCUGGCCUAGCUCCGGGUUCGACUCCCGGCCGGCGCA